GACGAACGCUGGCGGCGUGCUUAACACAUGCAAGUCGAACGGAAAGGCCCUGCUUUUGUGGGGUGCUCGAGUGGCGAACGGGUGAGUAACACGUGAGUAACCUGCCCUUGACUUUGGGAUAACUCCAGGAAACUGGGGCUAAUACCGGAUAGGAUCUUCUGCUGCAUGUUGGGGGUUGGAAAGUUUCGGCGGUUGGGGAUGGACUCGAGGCUUAUCCGCUUGUUGGUGGAGUAGUGGCUUACCAAGGCUUUGACGGCUAGCCGGCAUGAGAGGGUUACCGGCCACAUUGGGACUGAGAUAGGGCGCAGACGCCUACGGGAGGCAGCAGGGGGGAAUAUUGCACAAUGGGCGGAAGCGUGAGGCAGCAACGCCGCGUGCGGGGUGACGGCCUUCGGGUUGUAAACCGCUUUCGCCUGUAACGAGGCGUGAGUGACGGUAAUGGGUAAAGAAGCACCGGCUAACUACGUG
rnacentral:rRNA from 1 species